rnacentral:rRNA from 1 species
GACGAACGCUGGCGGCGUGCUUAACACAUGCAAGUCGAACGGAAAGGCCCUGCUUGCAGGGUACUCGAGUGGCGAACGGGUGAGUAACACGUGUGUGAUCUGCCCUGCACUUCGUGAUAAGCCUGGGAAACUGUGUCUAAUACCGGAUAGGAGCCAUUUUUCGUGUUAUUGUUGGAAAGUUUUUUGGGUGUAGGAUGAGCUCGCGGCCUAUCAGCUUGUUGGUGGGGUAAUGGCCUACCAAGGCGGCGACGGGUAGCCGGCCUGAGAGGGUGGACGGCCACAUUGGGACUGGGAUACGGCCCAGAACCCGACGGGAAGGAGGAGGGGGGAAUAUUGGACAAUGGGCGCAAGCCUGAUGCAGCGACGCCGCGUGGGGGAUGACGGGCUUCGGGUUGUAAACUCCUUUCGCUAGGGACGAAGCUUUUUGUGACGGUACCUAGAUAAGAAGCACCGGCUAACUACGUG